CCUAAACAUCCAAUUUCUAUAAGCAACAGAGACUGAGCAUGUGCAAAUAUUCAUACAUUACAAAUAGUUGGAUUUGCAUUGUUUGUAACUGCUUCCAAAAACUAAAAUUUGCAGUAGUCCUGUUAAAAAUGUGUUAGAAAUCACAGAUUCCUGUUUCAUCACAGAAAAUACAGUACACUCUUCUAGCUACUUGACAGCCUGGAAUGUAACACACUUGCCUCAGAAAUUUAAUGCAUCAGUCAAAUGAAAACUUUCCUUCACCCUAGCAGUCUUGUCAGAAUGCCUAUGAUAAAAAUCUGAAAGAUAGGGGCUGGGGUUCUGGCUCAGUUAUAGAGUGCUUCCCUAGCACAUGGGAGGCACUGUGUUCAAGCAUCAGAACCACAUAAAAACAAAUAAAAUAAAAGUUAUUUGUCUAUCUAUGA
rnacentral:lncRNA from 1 species